UUUUUUAUGGAGAGUUUGAUCCUGGCUCAGAGUGAACGCUGGCGGCGUGCCUAAUACAUGCAAGUCGAACGAUGAA
rnacentral:rRNA from 1 species